GAUGAACGCUAGCGGGAGGCCUAACACAUGCAAGCCGAGCGGUAGAGAUUCUUCGGAAUCUUGAGAGCGGCGUACGGGUGCGGAACACGUGUGCAACCUGCCUUUAUCAGGGGGAUAGCCUUUCGAAAGGAAGAUUAAUACCCCAUAAUAUAUUUGAUGGCAUCAUUAGAUAUUGAAAGCUUUUGCGGAUAGAGAUGGGCACGCGCAAGAUUAGAUAGUUGGUGAGGUAACGGCUCACCAAGUCGAUGAUCUUUAGGGGGCCUGAGAGGGUGAUCCCCCAGACUGGUACUGAGGCACGGACCAGACUCCUACGGGAGGCAGCAGUGAGGUAGAUUGGACAAUGGGUUAGCGCCUGAUCCAGCCAGCCCGCGUGAAGGACGACGGCCCUAUGGGUUGUAAACUUCUUUUGAACAGGGAUAAACCUACUCUCGUGAGAGUAGCUGAAGGUACUGUACGAAUAAGCACCGGCUAACUCCGUG
rnacentral:rRNA from 1 species